rnacentral:rRNA from 1 species
GACGAACGCUGGCGGCGUGCUUAACACAUGCAAGUCGAACGGAAAGGCCCUGCUUGUGUGGGGUUCUCGAGUGGCGAACGUGUGAGUAACAUGUGAGUAACCUUCCCUGUACUUUGUGAUAACUUCAGGCAACUGGUGCUAAUACCUGAUAGGAGCGCCUGCUGCAGGGUGGUGGUUGGAAAGUUUCGGCUGUUGGGGAUGGACUCGCGGCUUAUCAGCUGGUUGGUUGGGUAGUUGCUUACCAAGGCUUUGACGGAUAGCCGGCCUGAGAGGGUGACCGGCCACAUUGGGACUGAGAUAAGGCCCAGACUGGUACGGGAGGCAGAAGUGGGGAGUAUUGCACAAUGGGCGGACGCCUGAUGCAGAAACGCCGCGUGCGGGAUGAAGGCCUUGGGGUUGUAAAGCGCUUUCGCCUGUGACGAAGCGUGAGUGACGUUAAUGGGUGAAGAAGCACCGGCUAACUACGUG